GCUAGCUGAAGCAUAUGCCCUGCGAGCUUAGGGGUGCUACACUUGACCACGGCGGCAGUAAAGAUGACUCUGAAGAAUGGCAUGGGAUGGAUCCUUUUGAAUGCACUCAAGCAGGGGUCUCCAACCACAGGUCCACAGAGCCGGAGCUGAAUCUACCAUGAAAGACUUCAGAAUCCAGGAAGAGAGACUGACUGGGCAACAUCUUAUUCAGGAGAUGGGAUCUCACCCUGUCACCCAGGCUGGAGUACAGUGGUGCAAUCACAGCUCACUGCAGCCUUGAACUCCUGGGCUAAGGAUCCUCCUGCCUCAGCUUCCUGAGUAGCUGGGACUGUAAGGUCUUGCUCUAUUGUCCAGGCUGGAGUGUAGUGGUGCCAUCACAGCUAACUGCAGCCUCAACCUCCCAGGCUCAAGCGAUCCUCCCACCUCAGCCUCCUAAGUGGCUGAGACUAUAGGUGCUUGGUACUGUGCCCAACUAAUAUUUGGACUUUUCCUAUAUGUGGGUUCCAGAGGGCUGACUGUGAAAUGUGAGUAUGCAUGGAUUUUGGUAUAUGCAGAGAUGGGGGGCUGGAACUAAUCCUUUCUGUAUACCGAGGGAUGACUGUAUAUGUUUUUACAAUUAUGCUGUAUGACACAUAUUGUUCCAUAGCCUUGAAAAUGAUAAUUUUUAAUGAAAAUUAUUUUUAAUUGAGAGGAAUAAUAAUAAAAGUAGCAGCUGGCCAGGUGUGGUGGCUCACACCAGUAAUCACAACACUUUCGGAGGCUGAGGUAGGAGGAUGGCUUGAGGCCAAGAGUUUGAGACAGGCCUCGGAAACCAAAGGAGGCACCAUCCCUACAGAAAAGUACAUGAAUUAGCCUAGGGUGGUGACAUGUUCCUGUAGUCCCAGCUACUUGGGAGGCUGCUGUGGGAAGAUCACUUGAGUCCAAGGAGGUUGAGACUGCAGUGAGUCAUGAUCAGGCCUCUGCACUCCAGCCUGGGUGACAGAGUAAGACCCUGUCUCAAAGCAACAAAAAAGUAGCAGCUAACAUUAACUGACCUUUUACCAGGUGCCUAUAAAUACCAUAGUAUAAUUUCUUAUAACUGUUUCUUAUUUAACUUAACCACUCUGU